rnacentral:lncRNA from 1 species
UUCUGUGGAGGAAUUCCCCCCUGCAUUUCUGACUGGUCAUCUCCUGGGGAAUUCUCUGUAACUGGAAAUGAUCCCGGAAAACCAGGAACAGCUGCAUUGUAGCAUCUUCCUGGUUCCAGGCACAGCACUCCAGCUCCAACCGUGAAUGAGCAAGCUUGGAUGUCUUCCCAUUCCAAAGGGACCAGAGCCACAGAUUCCAUUACACUGCAGUACCUCUGGGUGGCAGAGGGAUAGAAGUGCUAAGUGAGCCCAGGAAAGGAUGUGUGUUAGCUGUCUAGACCAGGCUGGCCUUAAACUCAGAGAGACCCACCUGCCUCUGCCCCCUGAGUGCUGGGAUUGCAAGUGUAUACCCAGCAGCAUCCACAGUUUGCAAAGGUCAGCCCUUCUCUAAGCCAGCAAUGCAUGACCUGGGCUAGUCUGAGAAGAAACAGAAGAGAAGGAAAGAAAGGGGGAACAGGAAAACCCCCAAAUUCCAGUGAGCUUUUGUCCUAAGGAAUGGUUUCCUUCUGCCAGCAGAAAUGAGGAUGGACAAUCUAAUUGAAUUCAAUUAAGAGAAGCAUCGACAUUUCGGCACUUUGGCACAUUCAAGUGAUUACCCCGAGGUUCAGGAGCGGAGCGCACCAGCGCACAGGACUCCUUCAAACCCAGUUUCCGGGAUGGAAGCUUAGUGCAGUGGUGGAACCCUUGCCUCCAGAUACAAAGCCUUGAAUUGAUCCCUGGUGUCAUGCAAGAAAAGGAGGGGAGGGGAAGGGAGUAGGAGCAGGAGAAGGAAGAGAAGUGAGAGGAAGAUUCAACUCGUUGCUGCCCAAGCCUUCUUGUCCCUUUCUGAUACUGAGAUAAAACACUCAGGAAAAAAAAAAAAAAACUCACCCCUGAGUUCCAUCCCCAGGACCCACAGAGUGGAGAGAACUAAAUCCCACAGUUGUCUUCUGAUCUCCAUGUGCACGCGUGCACGCGCACACACACACACACACACACAUCACCCUUAAAACCAUCCUAAACAACUACUAAUCUGUUUCCUGUCUCUGUGGGCUUGCUGAUUUGAGACAUUUCCUUUAAAUAGACUUUCGUGAUGUUUUCAAGCCU